UACGAGAGGCCCAAACGUUAUUCGGAGUUACUGGGCUUAAAGAGUUCGUAGGCGGCGCAGAAAGUAGGGUGUGAAAGCCCUCGGCUCAACCGAGGAAUUGCGCUCUAAACUACUGUGCUUGAGGAAGCUAGAGGUGAGCGGAACUGAUGGUGGAGCGGUGAAAUGCGUUGAUAUCAUCAGGAACACCGGAGGCGAAGGCGGCUCACUGGGGCUUUUCUGACGCUGAGGAACGAAAGCCAGGGGAGCGAACGGG
rnacentral:rRNA from 1 species